UACGAAGGGGGCUAGCGUUGCUCGGAAUCACUGGGCGUAAAGCGCACGUAGGCGGCUUGUUAAGUCAGGGGUGAAAUCCUGGAGCUCAACUCCAGAACUGCCUUUGAUACUGGCGAUCUUGAGUCCGGGAGAGGUGAGUGGAACUGCGAGUGUAGAGGUGAAAUUCGUAGAUAUUCGCAAGAACACCAGUGGCGAAGGCGGCUCACUGGACCACAACUGACGCUGAGGCGCGAAAGCUAGGGGAGCAAACAGG
rnacentral:rRNA from 1 species